rnacentral:pre_miRNA from 1 species
AGUGAGAUAGCUGGGUCAUAUGGUGGUUCCAUUCCUAGUUUUUUGAGGAAACUCCAUACUGCUUUCCAAAGUGGUUAUACUAAUUUGCAGUCCCACCAACAAU